rnacentral:rRNA from 1 species
CCUGAGAAACGGCUACUACAUSCAAGGAAGGCAGCAGGCGCGCAAAUUACCCAAUCCCGACACGGGGAGGUAGUGACAAUAAAUACUGAUACASSGCUCUUUUGGGUCUUGUAAUCGGAAUGAGUACAAUUUAAAUCCCUUAACGAGGAACAAUUGGAGGGCAAGUCUGGUGCCAGCAGCCGCGGUAAUUCCAGCUCCAAUAGCGUAUAUUAAAGUUGUUGUGGUUAAAAAGCUCGUAGUUGAACCUUGGGCCUGGCUGGCCGGUCCGCCUCACCGCGUGCACUGGUCCGGCCGGGCCUUUCCCUCUGCGGAACCCCAUGCCCUUCACUGGGUGUGGCGGGGAAACAGGACUUUUACUUUGAAAAAAUUAGAGUGCUCAAGGCAGGCCUAUGCUCGAAUACAUUAGCAUGGAAUAAUAGAAUAGGACGUGUGGUUCUAUUUUGUUGGUUUCUAGGACCGCCGUAAUGAUUAAUAGGGACAGUCGGGGGCAUCAGUAUUCAAUUGUCAGAGGUGAAAUUCUUGGAUUUAUUGAAGACUAACUACUGCGAAAGCAUUUGCCAAGGAUGUUUUCAUUAAUCAGGA